UGGGGUGUGGCUCAGUAGCAGAGCGCUUGCCUAGCACGCCUGAGGUACUGGGUUCGAUCCUCAGCACCACAA
rnacentral:tRNA from 1 species